CCAGACUACAAUUCGGACAAGGGGAAUCCGACUGUUUAAUUAAAACAAAGCAUUGCGAUGGUCCCAACAGAUGUUCACGCAAUGUGAUUUUUUUUUUUUCAAAAAAAAAAAAAGAAAGCUUUCCCACGUUUUCUGUCUACUGCUAAGAAAACCCAAAAACCUCUAGAACUACUCUAAUACAUCACAACACCUGCACUCUCCCAACAGAAAUAACCCAAACAAUAUGUAGAAAUUGAGAAAAUGCAACUGAGAUUAAACUUAAAAGAUGAUGAAGUCUAAUCAAGUACAUAUAUUAUGUAAGGUUAAGAGAAUCAAUAAGGUUAUAGGUUAAAUGUGCAUUACAGCAUGUCUAAGUUCAUUGAACACAAGCUGGAGAAUAUUGUAGAUCCACAGAAAAUCGUGUAGUAGAAUGUUCACAUACCAUAUAUUAUCAUGUCGAAUAUAUAAGGAGUUCGUUUAAAUGGUGUUAACUUAUUCACUUGUGUCACAUGAUAUCAUAGACUCUACUAUCUAGGUAAAUAAACAGUAGUGGCCUAAGGCUGCCUGUCUAGCCAAAGUUUUUUUUAAAUAGUUUUUUGUUUUAAUUUUAAGCUAUGUUGCUCGGAUUCUCCAAAAUUGUUGUCGCACCCGUGUCAAAUUUUCCAAAUGUGCAGCUUGGGGAGUAUCCAACAUGCACCCGUUGACAUUUUUGGAUAGUCCGAGCAACAUAGGUUAACAGUAGAUUGCAAUGACAAUACCAACAUUCAUGUCAUUAUCCAGUCAGCGUCCAUCUCCCUUUCAAGUUAGCAAGGUACAUUGCCAGUGAUCACUAGCCAAGCAAGUAGUAUCUUAUCAUUACUAGUAAUAUAAUUCAUUUAGCAGCACAUCAAUCCCCAAAUGUAAUCAUGCUCAUGAAUUCAUGAUAACAGCAUGACCCAGUUAAUUCUAGCGGCAGCAAAAGAUAAAUGCCAAUUUAACAUAACUUAAUUAUCAGUUUCGAUAUUCGAACUCAAAUAAUUUCACCACCUUAAGUUUAGGGCAACUUGUUGAAUCAAGAAUAUUUAUGAGAUUAUGCGUUAAACUAUAUCAAAAUUUCCAGCAUUUCUACCUUAGGCAAUGCAGCAGUCGAGGGUCAUUGAUGACCAAGACCCAGAAUGGUAUACAUGAGGUGUUCAAAAAUAAGGCAACCUACAGAAGUAGUUAUGCCCAAGAAGGUUUUUGGAGCACAAGAUGCAGACUCAGUCAAUGUACUUCCAACUCAGAUACCAACCUUGUCAACCAAUUGAAUGCCUUACUGUCAUUCAGGAAACUAGGUUUUGGAUGCAAAUCUGAAGAAAAAGAAGAAAUUAAGUUUUUGGGUACAUACAAGGCAUUUUUGGGCGUAUAUGCUACUUGGCGGUGCAGAGACUAAGCUGCAGGAAUAAAAAAAAAACCCUCCCACUUACAAA